GAGGAAGUAAAAGUCGUAACAAGGUCUCCGUUGGUGAACCAGCGGAGGGAUCAUUACUGAGUUAUCCAAAACUCCCAACCCUUUGUGAACUUACCACUGUUGCCUCGGCGAGUUGUGCUACCCUAUAGCUACCCUGUAGCUACCCGGGAACACAUUCCAAGCUCGCCAGAGGACCUACCAACUCUGUUUUUAUACUGUAUCUCUGAACUUUAUAACUAAAUAAGUUAAAACUUUCAACAACGGAUCUCUUGGUUCUGGCAUCGAUGAAGAACGCAGCGAAAUGCGAUAAGUAAUGUGAAUUGCAGAAUUCAGUGAAUCAUCGAAUCUUUGAACGCACAUUGCGCCCAUUAGUAUUCUAGUGGGCAUGCCUAUUCGAGCGUCAUUUCAACCCUUAAGCCUCAGUUGCUUAGCGUUGGGACUCUACGAUCUAUUAUAGCGUAGUUCCUUAAAGUUAGUGGCGGAGUUAUAGCACACUCUAAGCGUAGUAAUUCUCUCUCGCUUCUUGUAGUGGUUAUAGUUGCUAGCCAUAAAACACCCCCUAUUUUAAUGGUUGACCUCGGAUUAGGUAGGAAUACCCGCUGAACUUAAGCA
rnacentral:rRNA from 1 species